GACGAACGCUGGCGGCGUGCUUAACACAUGCAAGUCGAACGGAAAGGCCCUGCUUUUGUGGGGUGCUCGAGUGGCGAACGGGUGAGUAACACGUGAGUAACCUGCCCUUGACUUUGGGAUAACUUCAGGUAACUGGGGCUAAUACCGGAUAGGAUCUCCUGCUGCAUGGUGGGGGUUGGAAAGUUUCGGCGGUUGGGGAUGGACUCGCGGCUUAUCAGCUUGUUGGUGGGGUAGUGGCUUACCCAGGCUUUGACGGGUAGCCGGCCUGAGAGGGUGACCGGCCACAUUGGAACUGAGAUACGGCCCAGUCUCCUACGGGAGGCAGCAGUGGCGAAUAUUGCACAAUGGGCGGAAGCCUGAUGCAGCAACGCCGCGUGCGGGAUGACGGACUUCGGGUUGUCAACCGCUUUCGCCUGUGACGAAGCGUGAGUGACGGUAAUGGGUAAAGAAGCACCGGCUAACUACGUG
rnacentral:rRNA from 1 species